rnacentral:pre_miRNA from 1 species
AGGGAAGCGCAGGAUCCUGGGCUGUGUCCCCCGGCACCCGGGGAUCCAAAGCCUGUGCUGCUGGAAUUGCACUCCUGGGGCACAGCUCCCA